CAUGCAAGUCGUACGGGAUAAGUUGUAGCAAUACGACUUUGAGAGUGGCGUACGGGUGCGUAACACGUAUGCAACCUACCUUUAACUGGGGGAUAGCCCGGAGAAAUUCGGAUUAAUACCCCAUAACAUAAUAACAGGGCAUCUUGUUAUUAUCAAAACUCCGGUGGUUAAAGAUGGGCAUGCGGCUGAUUAGCUAGUUGGUGAGGUAAUGGCUCACCAAGGCUACGAUCAGUAGGGGGUCUGAGAGGAUGUCCCCCCACACUGGUACUGAGACACGGACCAGACUCCUACGGGAGGCAGCAGUAGGGAAUAUUGGGCAAUGGACGGAAGUCUGACCCAGCCAUGCCGCGUGCAGGAUGACUGCCCUAUGGGUUGUAAACUGCUUUUAUACGGGAAUAAACCUCUCUACGUGUAGGGAGUUGAAUGUACUGUAAGAUAAGGACGGCU
rnacentral:rRNA from 1 species